rnacentral:rRNA from 1 species
GACGAACGCUGGCGGCGUGCUUAACACAUGCAAGUCGAACGGAAAGGCCCUGCUUUUGUGGGGUGCUCGAGUGGCGAACGGGUGAGUAACACGUGAGUAACCUGCCCUUGACUUUGGGAUAACUUCAGGAAACUGGGGCUAAUACCGGAUAGGAGCUCCUGCUGCAUGGUGGGGGUUGGAAAGUUUCGGCGGUUGGGGAUGGACUCGCGGCUUAUCAGCUUGUUGGUGGGGUAGUGGCUUACCAAGGCUUUGACGGGUAGCCGGCCUGAGAGGGUGACCGGCCACAUUGGGACUGAGAUACGGCCCAGACUCCUACGGGAGGCAGCAGUGGGGAAUAUUGCACAAUGGGCGGAAGCCUGAUGCAGCAACGCCGCGUGCGGGAUGACUGCCUUCGGGUUGUAAACCGCGUUCGCCUGUGACGAAGCGUGAGUGACGGUAAUGGGUAAAGAAGCACCGGCUAACUACGUG